CAGAUGGAGCAAGCAUUAGUAGGCGGGGCUACAGAAGAGGGACGCUCAUUGGCGCGCUUGAGUUCCUCGCUAACUAUAUAAACCUAGAAAUGCUGUCUCUUCAAUUAAGCCCGUCUGUGUUCCCUUCUUUGUGAUUGGACGAGAAGCGCUCCUGGGCGGAGCUUGAUAGGUUGAAGGAUCCUUUGAAGCAGAUUUUGGGAUACAGCAAUGGAGAAGAAGCUAAAGCUAUUACCUGAAAAUUUAUUUAAAUCAGGCAUGUCCAACCUUGCAGCAGAAUUCUGGGAGUUGAGGUCCUCAAGUUGCCUAGGUUGGACACCCCUGAUUUAGAUGAUAAUGGAUCUCUACGUCUAUAUACAUACGUCCCAACAGAAGUUAAUUAAAAAUUACACAAAGGAGCUUUUGUGGUUGGAAAAUACUGUUUUGAGUCAACUAUAAAUUCAUGCAGAUUGUACGCAUUAUGGAAAUUUAAUCUGAAUGGUUAAAUUAUUGUAACUAUUUCUUUAAUUAGGUGACAGCUUUGCCAAUAUGUCAUUUUUAUUCAUCAACUAUACUUUCAGAAAUUCUUUUUCAUUAUUGUUACAGAUUCUCAUUCCCAAAUGCAAUAGCUGGCCUUCCACCCUCCCCCAAAUAAGGAGAAGCAAAUAGAUGGAGUCAGCCCUAAAAGAUAGGGAAACCCAGAAAAGAUUAAAAAAAAAAAAAAGAAGUGAACAGUGGAUAUAUUAGAUGUCCUUAAUGCUCUGCACAUUUUUAUAAUCUCUUUAGCCUACCUGAUGUAAAAGAAUUUCACUGGGGUAAACCAGAAAGCCUCCCCCCCCCAAAAAAAACCCAACCAUCAAUUAUAGUGCCCUUAUAAGAGGUAAAUAGCACAUUAUCAUUUCUAAAGCAAAGAUCCUAUCAAGUUUGUUUAUUUGUAUCCUACCCUUAUUUUUAUAAAUAACUCAAGGUGGUGGCAAACAUGUUCAACACACCUUCCUCCUGCGAUUUUCCCCACAACCACCACCCUCUGAGGUGAGUUGGGUUGAGAGACAGUGCCUGGCCCAGGGUUACCCAGAUGGAUUUCAUGCUAAGGCUGGACUAGAAUUCAGGGUCUCCCAGUUUUUAGCCUAGUGACUAAACCACUAGACCAAACCGACUCUUAUCAAGUAGAAUAAUUCUGAGUUAAACUCCCCUGAGCUUCAGAAUGUCCAAGAGUUAUAUUCUAUUAUGGAUAUCAAAGCACACUUCAACUUAAGUUCGAAAACAGAGUUUUAGUGAGCGGUUAUGGUUCAAUUGUACAUAGGAGGCUUUGCUGUAGAGUUUAUUUUAAUAAACAGCAUGGAUCUAAAACAUUAUCCAAUAGUUUAGGUUUCCGUGCCAUGAUCAAUUUCUUUCAAUUACACAGACUGCAAAAAUAACCUCUUAACAAUCAGAUCUUGAAAAUGCAGCUUGGCAAAGCAAUCAAGGCAGAGGGAAAUAAUCCAUUUAACAAGGGAGGCCUCUCCCUACUAUUCAGUUAUUUGUGCAACACCCUAGCUAGGGGAAAUAUUUUUUUUUAUAGGAGCAAAAGUGCAGCCAAUGCACUUCUGCCUGCUUUCAAAAGCUUUGUAAAGAUGCAUCCUAAGGCAAUCGGCUCAGGACAGAUUUCUUUUCUCCCAGAAAGCAAAUUAGAAACAACCCUCAAAUGUCUUAAAAUUGACAUACACAGAGAUACACUUUCUUAAAUAUUCUGAAAUAUCUGUAAACUGCACAUAACGUUUUAGGAACCUGAUCAGGAUACGAAGCAGGGUAAUACUGUUUUAAUAAGGAUUCACAUUAUAACCGCAAAAUCAUUCCUACACUGAAUCUUAUGCGAAUCUGCAUGGAAAUCACCCUUAGAAUCAGCAGGCUUAUGCCCAAUCUUAGUUUACAUAGAAUUGCAGUCACAGUCUUAUUCUUCAUUAAUUUCACAGAAAAUCACCAAUCAAACAACAAUACUGCUGAAAACCGAACAUACAUUUUUUUAUAGUUUAAAUAGGUUGAAUAAAUAUGGCAAUACUCUAUUCCGCCCCCCCCCCCAGCCCCAUUUCCAAAGAAGAGAAGAAAAGGCAUUUACUUAAUUGAAAAUUUGUUACCUGUUAUAUUCUGGGCUCUAGUUAGUCAAGAUGGAAAAAACAUUUGCAUACAGAUUGUUUGGAAGCACCAAGCCAUUCAGGAAAGGCCUGUAUGCCUCUAUGGAGUACAAUUUCCAGCAGACUUUCCCACUGACGUGUGUGUGUGUGUGUGUGUGUGUGUGUGUGUGUGUGUGUGUGUGUGUGUGUGUGUGUGUGUGUGUGGAGAACCACUGCUCUACUGGAUUGUAGUAUAAAAUGUUAAGUAAAAAACGGCAACUGCCAUGCUAGCAAGCAGAAGCUCAACACCAUAGCAUUUCGUUUAGCCAAAUUCACUAUUCCCUGCAGUGAUAUCCACGGUGUUGUAAUUAUAGUGAGAAACCCACUUAAACAAAUUUAGGAGUGCUGAUGGCAGCCAUUAGCCUGGAGAGCUUUUUACAGAUCUGUGAAUGGCCUUUAAUCAGUCAUCGUCAUCACCAUUACCAGCUCAGAGGCAUAACGUUACCAAGAAAUGAUGUUUUGAUUACGGAAUAUAAAUAAAGGAUGCACAUUAUCUUUAUAUCCUAUUUUGCCUGGGAGUAUCACUGCACUUUGUUAGAAACUUAUAAAAGGAUUAGGAAUUGUGAACUGAUCCAUCAAUGAUCGAUAUUACUAUGCUAUUAACUAACUGGGACUUACAGUGGCUUCUGAAUACACAAUUGGGAUGACCAAAAAUUGCCAGUUUGCAAAACUAUAUGUUCUCCAACUCCUUCCCCAUUUAAGUUUUCAAAUCUACCUAACUAUUCUGAAUACAAAUUAAGACUAUUUUUGAAAUAAUUCUAUUUGCAGUCUUAUAUAAUCACUGAACCAGCAUCUUUGGAUUAUACUGAAUCUCAGAUCAAUUCUAUACCAUCUUAUUCAGAAGGGGAGGGGGUGAAACAAAAGAACCCAGACCACAGAACCUAAAAUGAAAGUUGCUUGUUAACUUACUUAAACAAGAUAGCUUGGAAAAUAUAUCCGUUGGAGCUGUACAAUCCUUUUUAUUUACGUGGAAUGCAUACAAAUAUGAAUGCAGCUCUGGUAAUUUGUUAAAGGAUUUGUAUCUUCCCAAGAGCAGCCACAGAGUUAGAGAAAAAGAUGCAAUUAAGUUCAUGGAUCAGUCAGAGAUGCUGCCUGCAUUCAUGCUCCUACAUUUCCAAAGCAUCUCUUCCCAGUUGAAUCCAACAGUAUAUUUUUCAGAAAUUACUUUCAACAUUAAAAGAAGGCUACACCAUGAUUGAAAAAGUAAUUCUGAUAGGGUUUCUUUUUCUUAAAAAUAUAAUCAUCAAUUGCAAUAAAGGAGUUCGCAUUUAUGCUGGGGUGCUGUGCAGAAUUUCUGAUGUGGAAGUGCCAUUUAUCAUUACUCCCAUUCCAUAAACAAUAGCAGUAACCCUUUACUUUAAUACCACUAUCAUGUUUUCAACAAUAUAGAGACUUCACAGAGAGUACCAUCAGAACUGAACAAUUUUACAAAUACAUUAAGGGUAAUAUACAUAAAGAUAACUAGAAUCCAGCCUGAUUCCUGAUAAUUUCAUAGACAAGCAGCAAUACAGAUGUGGUUUGCCACUGCCUUUUUUCUGGAUUUUUAAAGUAAAUUCAGCUUUAUCUUAGUGGUCUCCUAUUGAAAUACUAACCAGGUCCAACUCUGUUUAGCUUUCUGAGAUCAGAUUCCCAAACUACAAAUGGAGAAUAACUAAAAGAUCACUAAUUUAGUUUUAAGGAUUAAGGAAAUCGAGGAAAAAGCAAUAGAGGGCAAUGACACAGGAAAAAUAGAGAUACUGCCUUCCUGUCUUGUUUCCAUGGAAACUAAAGAAUUUCCUUCCUCUGUUUAUUUUUUGUUUUCUUCUUCUUCUUCUUCACUUUAUGUGCUUGGGCCUUUUCCUCUGGGAAAAAAAAGCAUUGCUUUGGCAGGGAGAAGAUUGGAAAAUAGUGCACAAGCAAUAACAUUUCAUUUAAAAAAAAAAAAAAGAUGGCCUGCCUCUGUUUCUGACCCAUUACACAACUAGUUGCGAGAGUUUCUUUCUGAAAACAUACCAGAAUUCACAAACCACACAAACGUUUACCCUGUAGUACAUAUAGGUUUUUCUUUGUUGAGAAUCUGAUGUGAUCUGCAGAGAGGACUUCUGUGAUGCUUCUUGGUUUAGGCUUAUUUAGGAGUUCUGUGUUCUCACAUGUGCAUAUGUGCAUGCCUUGGAAUCAUCUUUUGACUCCUAGCAACUGCCUAGACGAGGUUUUUCGGAAGUGGUUCACCACUGCAUCAUUGCAUCUUCCUAGGCCUGAGAGAGUGCCUAGCCCAAGGUCAUCCAAGUGACUCCGUGCCUAAGGUGGGACUAGAAUUCACCAUCUACCUUGUUUCUAGCCAGGUGCUUUCACCGCCACACCGGAAUUGGUUUUCCGGUGCUCUAUAGUGCUUCCAAUUGGAAAGCAAAGCUGUCUUUCCAAGUGUGGGAAAGCACUGUAGGCAUGUAACCCAUUUGCAACUCUUGAAGGUAAAUGUGCUUUUUCUUGGGAUAGUGGGGCAGAGGGUAACUCAGGAAAAGCUGCUGCCGCUUCUGCUUUGAGCGGUAGGGAGGUGCUACCUGAGCAUCCCCAGGUGUGCCAAACCCUCUUUUUACCUUUCAAUUCAAAGUGCCAGAUAGCAAUACUGGGCAUACUAUUUGUUAUAUGUUGGGAGUACAUGCUCUUUGUGCAAGAAGGACUCCUAGAAAGGGUUCGGAGGUGCUGCUUCCUGAAGGAGGUUAGUAAAUGGGGCUUCUUAUUCAGCUAUAUCAGGAUGCACAGCAUCUAAAAUUGGCCAAGCGAUUUGGCAUGUCUGGGAGCAAAACCUCAGAAACAAUGCUGUCUAUGCCUUGCAAUAAACAAACACUAAAAGGGAAAAAAAAUGAUGCUCAAUGAUCCGAAAAAUUAAGUUUCCCUGUAGUCCAAACAUACCGAACCCAUAUUUCUUUCCAACAAGCUAUAACCACAUCAUUGUCAAACAUAUCUUUCUCUCUAAGAUGCUCCAAUUUAUUCCUCCUUGCUGUUAAGUGUAGUUAUUCAUCUUUGUUAUCUUAACAAAACCACUUCAGCUAUAUACAGAUUUUAUUCUCAGAACAGUGGUACAGAUAGUCCUCAAGUUACACCCAUAAUUAGCCCUUCAAUUGCUAAGCAAUGAGAGUAUAAAGCAAGAUGUGUAGAGACUGCAAUUCCAGGAAACAGCAUUGCUAUGGUUAAGCAAAUGUUAUUGAUCAUUAGCUGAGGACCCUGCCAAAUCCACUCAAGGCUUGGUCUGUCCCAAUCUCAAGCCUCAACUCCCCCACUUGCUUAUCCCCCCCCCAUCACUGUCCUUUUGGCUAUCCUUGUGAGAUGGGCAAGCAGCCCCCAAACUGCCUGGCUCUAGGUUGCUUACUAUGUUCCAGGAAGCCACAGCCACCCCAGAUCAAUCCCAGUUACCCUUACUACCUGCACUCCAAAGCCACUGUUGCACUAUGCGCCACCAACCCAGGUGAUAGCAAUAGCACUUAGACGUACAUAUGCUUCAUAGCGCUUUACGAGCCUCUCUAAGCAGUUUACAGAGUCAGCAUAUUACACCCCAACUAUCUGGGUCCUCAUUUUACCGACCUCGGAAGGAUGGAAGGCUGAGUCAACCUUGAGCCGGUCAGGAUCGAAACCCUGCUGGAAGCUGGCAGAAUUAGCCUGCACUGUGGCAUUCUAACCACAGCGCCACCACGGCUCUUUCCUGCCUUCUUGCUUCCAUUGCUGACUGCCUGGAAUGUUUGUUGGGCCACGCUGGGGCUGGUUUCACCUUGUGAUAAAGAAAAAUUUAGACUGCUUUUGGCUUUUUCUUUGUCACAGAACAACUGUCAAGAUUCAGUCCGGCCCAGCCCCAGAAUGCCUCCUCAGCAGUGGUAGCAAGUUGGCGGUGAAGACAAACAGGCUUGGCAGGAAGCCAAAAGGGCAGAAGAUAGGCCUGCAGUAGUGUGGGCGGGCUGCCAAGCACCUGAAUUUUCAUCAUGUGACCACACGGGUGCUGCAAUGGCUAUAACUUUAGGUAUGGGCUGAAGUUCCUACGUUCAAUGAAGAAGUGGUCGUUAAGUUGAGGACAGUCUGUAUUUUGAUGCAAGGGAAAACAAAAAACUUGCCCAGCCAGCCCACUAUUUCCAACAAGUUAAAAAUGUGGUAAUAUAAAUUUUAAACAAACAUACUGAAUUGGGUUUACAAUAUCAACAGGGACUAAAUAACAACUCCACCCUCUCCCAAGCUGCUUUAUUUCCCAAAUUUUCAUUCUAAAAAUUUUAGCUAUAUGGUUCCCCCCUCCCCCGCUCUGUCUAAUAAAGAGUGUGAGAUCAGUGCAAAUUCUAUUUAUGCCUUACUUUCUCAAUCCUUACACAAAUCCAAGUAAAUGUGUUUGGGGCUAUUUCCUCAGAUGAGAUUUAUAGCACCUUCAAAAGUCACCCAAUCACCAGUGUGCCAAAAUAAUAAUAAAGCAAAUAGCUAUAUAUCAGUUCAGCAAUGGCUAGAUGAUGUUAUGAAGUGCCAUAAAUUGCUACUGGAGAAAUGGCCUAGAGCUGUUGCUUCAAUUGCCCUUUUAAAGUGGACAUUACCAGCAACAUAUCUCUAAAAGAACAGAGGUGUUAUCUUGUCAACUAAACAAAAGGCUUCAUAUAUUAAAGCAGGAAACUAAGACCUCUUUAUGACCUGUGGACUUCAACUCCCAGCAUUCCACAGGUCGUGAAGAGGGCAUAGUUGCCGAUCCCUGUAUUAAAAUAAGGGGAGGGUUCAUCUAAUUCUUAUUUGGAGCUUCUUUUUUAAGGCUUACCUUCUUCUUGUGUGUAGGCCACUUCCAAAUAGACAUCUUCUAAAGUUGCUAGGGAAAACACUUUUCCUCCUUUAAUUACAAUUUUGGGGCUGGAAAAAAAAA